rnacentral:rRNA from 1 species
UACGGGGGGGGCGAGCGUUGUUCGGAAUUACUGGGCGUAAAGGGUGCGUAGGCGGCUCGCUAAGUUGGAUGUGAAAACUCUGGGCUCAACCCAGAGACUGCAUCCAAUACUGACGAGCUAGAGUUCUGGAGGGGGUAGCGGAAUUCCUGGUGUAGCGGUGAAAUGCGUAGAUAUCAGGAGGAACACCGGUGGCGAAGGCGGCUACCUGGACAGAGUCUGACGCUGAGGCACGAAAGCUAGGGGAGCAAACAGG